rnacentral:rRNA from 1 species
AGCGUACACGGUGGAUGCCCUGGCAGUCAGAGGCGAUGAAGGACGUGCUAAUCUGCGAUAAGCGUCGGUAAGGUGAUAUGAACCGUUAUAACCGGCGAUUUCCGAAUGGGGAAACCCAGUGUGAUUCGUCACACUAUCAUUAACUGAAUCCAUAGGUUAAUGAGGCGAACCGGGGGAACUGAAACAUCUAAGUACCCCGAGGAAAAGAAAUCAACCGAGAUUCCCCCAGUAGCGGCGAGCGAACGGGGAGCAGCCCAGAGCCUGAAUCAGUGUGUGUGUUAGUGGAAGCGUCUGGAAAGGCGCGCGAUACAGGGUGACAGCCCCGUACACAAAAAUGCACAUGCUGUGAGCUCGAUGAGUAGGGCGGGACACGUGGUAUCCUGUCUGAAUAUGGGGGGACCAUCCUCCAAGGCUAAAUACUCCUGACUGACCGAUAGUGAACCAGUACCGUGAGGGAAAGGCGAAAAGAACCCCGGCGAGGGGAGUGAAAAAGAACCUGAAACCGUGUACGUACAAGCAGUGGGAGCACAGAGCAAUCUGUGUGACUGCGUACCUUUUGUAUAAUGGGUCAGCGACUUAUAUUCUGUAGCAAGGUUAACCGAAUAGGGGAGCCGAAGGGAAACCGAGUCUUAACUGGGCGUUAAGUUGCAGGGUAUAGACCCGAAACCCGGUGAUCUAGCCAUGGGCAGGUUGAAGGUUGGGUAACACUAACUGGAGGACCGAACCGACUAAUGUUGAAAAAUUAGCGGAUGACUUGUGGCUGGGGGUGAAAGGCCAAUCAAACCGGGAGAUAGCUGGUUCUCCCCGAAAGCUAUUUAGGUAGCGCCUCGUGAAUUCAUCUCCGGGGGUAGAGCACUGUUUCGGCAAGGGGGUCAUCCCGACUUACCAACCCGAUGCAAACUGCGAAUACCGGAGAAUGUUAUCACGGGAGACACACGGCGGGUGCUAACGUCCGUCGUGAAGAGGGAAACAACCCAGACCGCCAGCUAAGGUCCCAAAGUCAUGGUUAAGUGGGAAACGAUGUGGGAAGGCCCAGACAGCCAGGAUGUUGGCUUAGAAGCAGCCAUCAUUUAAAGAAAGCGUAAUAGCUCACUGGUCGAGUCGGCCUGCGCGGAAGAUGUAACGGGGCUAAACCAUGCACCGAAGCUGCGGCAGCGACGCUUAUGCGUUGUUGGGUAGGGGAGCGUUCUGUAAGCCUGUGAAGGUGUGCUGUGAGGCAUGCUGGAGGUAUCAGAAGUGCGAAUGCUGACAUAAGUAACGAUAAAGCGGGUGAAAAGCCCGCUCGCCGGAAGACCAAGGGUUCCUGUCCAACGUUAAUCGGGGCAGGGUGAGUCGACCCCUAAGGCGAGGCCGAAAGGCGUAGUCGAUGGGAAACAGGUUAAUAUUCCUGUACUUGGUGUUACUGCGAAGGGGGGACGGAGAAGGCUAUGUUGGCCGGGCGACGGUUGUCCCGGUUUAAGCGUGUAGGCUGGUUUUCCAGGCAAAUCCGGAAAAUCAAGGCUGAGGCGUGAUGACGAGGCACUACGGUGCUGAAGCAACAAAUGCCCUGCUUCCAGGAAAAGCCUCUAAGCAUCAGGUAACAUCAAAUCGUACCCCAAACCGACACAGGUGGUCAGGUAGAGAAUACCAAGGCGCUUGAGAGAACUCGGGUGAAGGAACUAGGCAAAAUGGUGCCGUAACUUCGGGAGAAGGCACGCUGAUAUGUAGGUGAGGUCCCUCGCGGAUGGAGCUGAAAUCAGUCGAAGAUACCAGCUGGCUGCAACUGUUUAUUAAAAACACAGCACUGUGCAAACACGAAAGUGGACGUAUACGGUGUGACGCCUGCCCGGUGCCGGAAGGUUAAUUGAUGGGGUUAGCGGUAACGCGAAGCUCUUGAUCGAAGCCCCGGUAAACGGCGGCCGUAACUAUAACGGUCCUAAGGUAGCGAAAUUCCUUGUCGGGUAAGUUCCGACCUGCACGAAUGGCGUAAUGAUGGCCAGGCUGUCUCCACCCGAGACUCAGUGAAAUUGAACUCGCUGUGAAGAUGCAGUGUACCCGCGGCAAGACGGAAAGACCCCGUGAACCUUUACUAUAGCUUGACACUGAACAUUGAGCCUUGAUGUGUAGGAUAGGUGGGAGGCUUUGAAGUGUGGACGCCAGUCUGCAUGGAGCCGGCCUUGAAAUACCACCCUUUAAUGUUUGAUGUUCUAACGUUGGCCCCUGAUCGGGGUUGCGGACAGUGUCUGGUGGGUAGUUUGACUGGGGCGGUCUCCUCCUAAAGAGUAACGGAGGAGCACGAAGGUUGGCUAAUCCUGGUCGGACAUCAGGAGGUUAGUGCAAUGGCAUAAGCCAGCUUGACUGCGAGCGUGACGGCGCGAGCAGGUGCGAAAGCAGGUCAUAGUGAUCCGGUGGUUCUGAAUGGAAGGGCCAUCGCUCAACGGAUAAAAGGUACUCCGGGGAUAACAGGCUGAUACCGCCCAAGAGUUCAUAUCGACGGCGGUGUUUGGCACCUCGAUGUCGGCUCAUCACAUCCUGGGGCUGAAGUAGGUCCCAAGGGUAUGGCUGUUCGCCAUUUAAAGUGGUACGCGAGCUGGGUUUAGAACGUCGUGAGACAGUUCGGUCCCUAUCUGCCGUGGGCGCUGGAGAACUGAGGGGGGCUGCUCCUAGUACGAGAGGACCGGAGUGGACGCAUCACUGGUGUUCGGGUUGUCAUGCCAAUGGCACUGCCCGGUAGCUAAAUGCGGAAGAGAUAAGUGCUGAAAGCAUCUAAGCACGAAACUUGCCCCGAGAUGAGUUCUCCCUGACUCCUUGA